GAUGAAGAACGCAGCGAAAUGCGAUAAGUAGUGUGAAUUGCAGAAUUCAGUGAAUCAUCGAAUCUUUGAACGCACAUUGCGCCCUUUGGUAUUCCAAAGGGCAUGCCUGUUCGAGCGUCAUUUGUACCCUCAAGCUUUGCUUGGUGUUGGGCGUCUUGUCUCUAGCUUUGCUGGAGACUCGCCUUAAAGUAAUUGGCAGCCGGCCUACUGGUUUCGGAGCGCAGCACAAGUCGCACUCUCUAUCAGCAAAGGUCUAGCAUCCACUAAGCCUUUUUUUCAACUUUUGACCUCGGAUCAGGUAGGGAUACCCGCUGAACUUAAGCAUAUCAAUAAGCGAGGA
rnacentral:misc_RNA from 1 species